ACCAUUUUAGACCAUUUCAAAGUAUUUCCAUAGAGAGCCACUUUGCAUCAGCAGCACCAUGCUCCAGUGCUCUGGGAGAGUUUAUAGUCCUGAGAGUUGAAGACUGGAUGACUGACAGCUGUCCUUCAUGACAACAGAAGCCACAGAAAUCCUCCUCAUCAAAAACAUGACUUUGAUCUCCGUCCUCAUCUGGACUCUCCUCUGCUGCUGCUUCACAGAGUCCAGAGGCCAGGUCACAGUGACUCAGCCUGGAGCAGUGAGAUCUGCUGUGGGAGGCUCUGUCACCAUCACAUGUAGGACCAGUCAGAAUGUUUACUUUGGGGGCACCUACCACUAUUUAGCCUGGUACCAACAGAGAGAUGGAGAAACUCCUAAACUGCUAAUUUCCCUUGCUACCAGUCGACAGUCAGGGAUUCCAGAUCGUUUUACAGGCAGUGGAUCAAACUCUGACUUCACUCUGACCAUCAGUGGAGUCCAGGCUGAAGAUGCAGCAGUUUACUACUGUCAGAGUCUUCACUCUAUCAACAGUCAGUGGGUGUUAACACAGUGAAAAAGCGUCGUACAAAAACCUCCCU